CUUCUCUCUCCCCAUUGUCUUCUCCUCCACCUCCUCCAUGCUCCCAGCCUUCUCUCCCCCCCUUGUCUUCUCCUCCACCUCCUCCAUGCUCCCAGCCUUCUCUCUCCCCAUUGUCUUCUCCUCCACCUCCUCCAUGCUCCCAGCCUUCUCUCUCCUCCUUAUCUUCUCCUCCACCUCCUCCAUGCUCCCAGCCUUCUCUCUCCUCCUUGUCUUCUCCUCCACCGCCUCCACCGUCAAAGAAAAGUCGAAAAGAAUGCAGGAAACACAGGACCCAGAAGGUGUUCCUCUAUGAGAGCAUUGUGGAAAGAAGAGUUUUUAAUCAAAGACAAGAAGUGAAAAUUCGCUGGACACCAUGCUCCGAGUGUGGCAAGGACUGGGAGGACACAUGGGAGCCUGCCCAAAACUAUAGCAGCUCAACAUAAUAACACACAGACACACACAUACACAUACACACAGACACACACACACAUACAUACACAGACACAAACACACACACACACAUACACACACACACACACACA